GUGAACGUUGUUCCUCACGCCCACGGGUCUGCUCAGUGCGUUGCUCUUCCACCGUAGCAGCAACAAUUCCUUCCUCACUUGCCAUCACUCGAAUCACUUCAACCAGCGGUACCUAGGAUUCAAACCGUUGCUCUGAUACAACCUGUCACGAAACUUAGGCUUAGAGAUUAGCCAAGUCGCACGACACUUAGUUAACUUUCUUGUCAAAGUCGAACUAAGUAACCCUAAAUGAG
rnacentral:lncRNA from 1 species